AAAGCUUCGAAUCCCCAAAACCUUUAGACUCGCAAAAAACCCUAAUUCCAAUUCCAAUUUCAUUUCAUAUUAUCAGCAAAAUUAGUUUGAUCUGCCGAGAGGCAGACGGAGAUUUACAAUGUCUGCAAUUGUCUGCGGCAAGAGAUCUUUCUUCGAAGAUUUACAAUCGCCGUCGCCGACAUCAGCGUCGCCGCCUGUUUCCAAGAAGAUUCGUUGCUCUUCCUCUACUUCUCCGGUUCGGUUCCCGACCAGUUUGAUCGAUCAACUGAGAACUUUGUUUCCUGAUAUGGAUAAUCAGGUUGUUGAGAAGGCUUUGGAAGAGUCCGGCAAUGACUUGGAUGCUGCUAUUAAGAGGUUACAUGAGCUUCACCUUGUGUAUGGCGAUGCAAAGACAGUUGCUGAUGGAGAGAUGGAUAAUGGAGAAAAACCAACUAACGGGCCAGAUGUUCAAUCUGAAGGUCCUCCUCUCCAGAAUAAUCUUCCAGCUGAUGGUGCAGAAUGGGUGGAGUUGCUUGUCAGGGAAAUGAUGAGUGCUACAAGUGUAGAUGAUGCCAGGGCUAGGGCCACAAGGGUGUUGGAGAGCCUGGAGCGAUCAAUUAGUGUUCAUGCUGGUGCUGCAGCAGCUGAAAAUGUUCACAAGGAAAAUGUGAUGCUGAAAGAGCAAAUUGAAGUGUUCCUUAGAGAAAAGGCCAUUUUUAAACGUGCUAUUGCUAUCCAACACGAAAGGCAAAAAGAGUAUGAUGAUAGAAACCAGGAAGUGCAGCAAUUGAAGCAGAUGAUUGCUCAAUAUCAGGAACAAAUAAAAAAUCUUGAGGUGAAUAAUUAUGCGUUGACAAUGCAUUUGCACCAGGCUCAGCAAAACAACUCUAUUCCGGGACGCUUCCAUCCAGACAUCUUCUAGUGCGGAGGCUAGUCCAGUUAAAGCUGUGGAACAUACAAAGAAACAAGCUUGUUGGCAUCUUGUCAGCUGUGAUAUAGGAUGUAUUAAUCAAAUUAUGAAUCAAUGUUGUUUUUAUAAUUAGAUUGAGUAACGGUUUGCGUGUUGAGUUGAAGCCACUUUGGUGGAUGACCCUGGUCAAGUAAGUAGUGUUGUACUGGACAUCGUCCAAAUGGUGAAGUCCUCAAACGUGCUAGUAUUUAACUAAUAUCAGAAAACUGGCUAUAAAACAUACUUUGCUAUAAUUUUGCUUUCUGCUUCUCAGUUUGUUCUACAAUUUUUU
rnacentral:misc_RNA from 1 species